GCUUUCUGCGUUUUCUGCGUUCUAUGUGCGCUUCGCUGUGACAUCUUUGGAAUAUUCCUGCGUGUUGCUCGGUUUUUAUGGGCUUGUUGCCUCGAAGAUCGCCAUGAUCGCCUCUGACUCAGCGACAUCAAGGAUUCAAAAUGAGCGGGAAGACGCCCCAGCUGGAACGAGGAGGAGCUCAUGGGCCAUUUGGGCUUUGGAAAUAACACGAAGUGGCAAAAGAGGACCUUGACCCCACCAGGGUCAGUG